UACGAAGGGGGCGAGCGUUGUUCGGAUUUACUGGGCGUAAAGGGCGCGUAGGCGGUGCAACAAGUCCGGCGUGAAAGCCCCCGGCUCAACUGGGGAGGGUCACGCGAUACUGAUCGACUCGAAGGCAGGAGAGGGAAGUGGAAUUCCCGGUGUAGUGGUGAAAUGCGUAGAUAUCGGGAGGAACACCAGUGGCGAAGGCGACUUCCUGGCCUGUUAUUGACGCUGAGGCGCGAAGGUCAGGGGAGCAAACGGG
rnacentral:rRNA from 1 species